rnacentral:rRNA from 1 species
UACGUAGGGUGCGAGCGUUGUCCGGAAUUAUUGGGCGUAAAGAGCUUGUAGGCGGUUUGUCGCGUCUGCCGUGAAAAUCCGGGGCUCAACCCCGGACUUGCGGUGGGUACGGGCAGACUAGAGUGUGGUAGGGGAGACUGGAAUUCCUGGUGUAGCGGUGAAAUGCGUAGAUAUCUGGAGGAACACCGGUGGCGAAGGCGGCCUGCUGGGCAGUUGCUGACACUGAGGCGCGACAGCGUGGGGAGCAAACAGG